rnacentral:rRNA from 1 species
UACGUAGGGGCAAGCGUUGUCCGGAUUCAUUGGGCGUAAAGAGCGUGUAGGCGGCCAGGUAGGUCGGUUGUGAAAACUGGAGGCUCAACCUUCAGAGGUCGACCGAAACCAUCUGGCUAGAGUCCGGGAGAGGAGAGUGGAAUUCCUGGUGUAGCGGUGAAAUGCGCAGAUAUCAGGAAGAACACCCGUGGCGAAAGCGGCUCUCUGGAACGGUACUGACGCUGAGACGCGAAAGCGUGGGGAGCGAACAGG